UUUCCGUAGGUGAACCUGCGGAAGGAUCAUUACCGAGUGAGGGCCCUCUGGGUCCAACCUCCCACCCGUGUCUAUCGUACCUUGUUGCUUCGGCGGGCCCGCCGUUUCGACGGCCGCCGGGGAGGCCUCGCGCCCCCGGGCCCGCGCCCGCCGAAGACCCCAACAUGAACGCUGUUCUGAAAGUAUGCAGUCUGAGUUGAUUAUCAUAAUCAGUUAAAACUUUCAACAACGGAUCUCUUGGUUCCGGCAUCGAUGAAGAACGCAGCGAAAUGCGAUAAGUAAUGUGAAUUGCAGAAUUCAGUGAAUCAUCGAGUCUUUGAACGCACAUUGCGCCCCCUGGUAUUCCGGGGGGCAUGCCUGUCCGAGCGUCAUUGCUGCCCUCAAGCACGGCUUGUGUGUUGGGCCGCCGUCCCCGGUUUCCCCCGGGGACGGGCCCGAAAGGCAGCGGCGGCACCGCGUCCGAUCCUCGAGCGUAUGGGGCUUUGUCACCCGCUCUGUAGGCCCGGCCGGCGCCAGCCGACACCCAACUUUAUUUCUAAGGUUGACCUCGGAUCAGGUAGGGAUACCCGCUGAACUUAA
rnacentral:sRNA from 1 species